GCAAGGAGCAAGAGAAAUUCAAAAAAUAGAUCUAACUUGACAAUCCUCCAUCACAGUGGCAGCAAACCAUUUAGAAAAGUAAUUUAUGACAAUGGCGGAAAGGAUAACAACCCUCCAAGUUUGGAUGCCUUAUUUUUCAUGACUCACACAAAGGGUGGUAGUUUUCUAGAUUCUGAAUCCUCCAGCAAGCAUGCACAACUUGAGGAACAAAUAUCAUUAGAUCCUUCUCUUUCUAAUGCAGAACUUAUGGAUAAGUGCUUCCCUUCAAAGAGACAGGAUCACAUUGUUGGAUAUGGUGGUGGCGUGAAAGCAAGACAUCUUAGAAGUCCAUGCAUUAGUAAGGCUGAAUUGAUAGAAAAGUUGAAACAGUCCGAGGAUGAGAAAAGAGCAAUGCAAGAAGAAAAUAGAGAGCUACGAGAAGAAAAUAAAGCUACAAACAGUCGUAUGAGCCGUAUGGAACAGGAGUGGGAAGAACUAAAGAACAGAUUAAGUAGUAGUUAGACAAAAAGUUCUAGUAUACGAUCAUCUAGCAGAUUUAAACGAUGGUAUUCAUCAUAAAUCUUCAGAUGGUUUAGUAGAUGUAAAUUAGAGUACAUGUUUAAGAGUGAAUGAUAUAUGAAUCUAUUUUGACAAC